rnacentral:rRNA from 1 species
AAUGAACGUUGGCGGCAUGGAUUAGGCAUGCAAGUCGAGCGAGAAGUUCACCUUCGGGUGAACGGAAAGCGGCGAAAGGGAGAGUAACGCGUAGUUAUCUACCCCGAGGCCGGAAUAGCCCGCCGAAAGGCGGGGUAAUGCCGGAUAAUAUCCCCGGAUCAAAGGUGCGAUUCCGCCUUGGGAGGAGACUGCGUUGUACUAGCUAGUUGGUAGGGUAAUGGCCUACCAAGGCGAUGAUGCAUAGCGGGCGUGAGAGCGUGGCCCGUCUCACUGGGACUGAGACACUGCCCAGACACCUACGGGUGGCAG